rnacentral:rRNA from 1 species
UACGUAGGGGGCAAGCGUUGUCCGGAAUUAUUGGGCGUAAAGCGCGUGUAGGCGGUUCGGUAAGUCCGCUGUGAAAGUCGGGGGGCUCAACCCUCGGAUGCCGGUGGAUACUGUCGAGCUUGAGUACGGAAGAGGCGAGUGGAAUUCCUGGUGUAGCGGUGAAAUGCGCAGAUAUCAGGAGGAACACCAAUUGCGAAGGCAGCUCGCUGGGACGUUACUGACGCUGAGACGCGAAAGCGUGGGGAGCAAACAGG